UACAGAGGGUGCAAACGUUGUUCGGAAUUACUGGGCGUAAAGCGCGUGUAGGCGGCCCUGCAAGUCGGGUGUGAAAUCCCACGGCUCAACCGUGGAAGUGCAUUCGAAACUGCAGGGCUAGAGUCCUGGAGAGGAAGGUGGAAUGCUUGGUGUAGAGGUGAAAUUCGUAGAUAUCAAGCGGAACACCGGUGGCGAAGGCGGCCUUCUGGACAGUGACUGACGCUGAGACGCGAAAGCGUGGGGAGCAAACAGG
rnacentral:rRNA from 1 species